UUUACAUCAUCCGUGGCAAGUUUGACAAAGUUGGGAUGGCUGUUUGUAUUUAUCGGAACAUAAGACAUCAGCUUUUGACAUCGUUUACCACAGCACUUGGCUGCCAGGCAAGACGGCCAGUGUUUUGUGAUGAAUUUUGAGCAUGUCGUAUUUUGAUGGGUUAAUACGCUCCUGCGUGCGCAAUCACAAGCGAGCUCGGCGGCAACAACAGCGGCAGCGAGCUCAUCAUCUCCUCUGGGGAGGGCCAAGUAAUUAUGACAGAGAAAGCGAAGGCAAAGACUCGCAUAAUGUUCCUUUGAGUGCUGAAGAACAGCGGAGGAGGCCCGUGGAAAGAUAUUUCAUACAAUGCUCGAAUAGAAGGAAGAAGGGCGAGAGGGAAUGAAUGCAAGGGGGAAUAGAUUCAAAAAGCGGCAGAGAGCAAAGAGAGCAAAGAAGAAGCAGUAAGUCUUGCCUCCUGGGAUGCGGCGCUAAUUCAAACAGCCUCUUUUCAUUAGUUCGCUGCAUAUUUGACUACUUCUCAUACUUGCCACAGCCCUCGUGUGAAUAUGGGGAAACUCACAGUCUCGUUUAAUAGCUCAGGUCAACUUUGCACAUGGAGGAUCUACAAGAUGUUCAAACGAGGGUUUGCUUUUUUGGGGGGGAUCACAUGAGGAGAUUUGGGCUGCAAACGAUUCAUAAUUCAUGUACUUGAUGUAAGAGGCCACAAUCCACUGUUAUUUCAGGGAACAUCACCGUCCUGAGGGACGGAAUGAAAGACGAGCCGCGUCGUAUUAUGUUGGCCACAAGAUAACCAAAGCCGAUACAACAGCUGCGACGACAGAAAAACAUUUGAAGAUGCUGAGCUGAAUGUUCACCUUUAAUUUCUUUUGAGGUUGUCCCGGUCUUUUAAUGACCAUUUAUGUUCAUCUCUACAAUUUGUCAUCCAUUCUUUUUUGGUCACAGGAACGUCAAGCUGCUUGGAGAUGGUCUUACCGUCUUUCCCUUUAAGGUACAAGUCAGUUGCAUGUACCUGCGACUUGCUCCGGCUGCUGACAUUUGCAUGCACGUCGCCGGCAAUCGGCUGCAGAGACGAGGAAAUGAAGCGGAAACAGUCGACAUACAGUACGAUACAUCGCUGCUGCAUUAUUGAGCGCCCGUUUGAAGCAUGUCGCCAGUAAUUCUGAUCGACAGCGGGCACCCGUCCUCUGCGCAAGACACGGGGGACUCUUACCGUCGGGUGUCUUCCCCCACGUUCCGGUCAGGUACGAGAUUACAUAUCGAUCACGGAUGACCUUCAAUCAACUUCUGCAAACAAGCAAGAUGGUGAGUGAUGAGCUCAAGGAAGCCAUACAGCAUGUAGUUGUUUGACCUUCAGCUAAUUUGAAUUCAUGUUCAUGCCACACUGGUAGAGGAACGGCAUCUCUGGGAACUCGGCACUGGGUGUAUGAUGUCAGUGGGCCGGCUAGGACCACACAUUAUAGUGGUCUUAAUAUAAAUCUUUUUUUUUUAACCACUAACUUUUAAAAAGUGCAAUA